rnacentral:rRNA from 1 species
CACGUAGGGCGCGAGCGUUUGUCCGGAAUUAUUGGGCGUAAAGAGCUCGUAGGCGGCCUGUUGCGUCCGCUGUGAAAGCCCGGGGCUUUAACCCCGGGUCGGCAGUGGAUACGGGCAGGCUAGAGGUAGGUAGGGGAGAAUGGAAUUCCCGGUGUAGCGGUGAAAUGCGCAGAUAUCGGGAGGAACACCGGUGGCGAAGGCGGUUCUCUGGGCCUUACCUGACGCUGAGGAGCGAAAGCGUGGGGAGCGAACAGG